rnacentral:rRNA from 1 species
AGCAAACGCUGGCGGCAGGCCUAACACAUGCAAGUCGAACGAACCUUUCGGGGUUAGUGGCGGACGGGUGAGUAACACGUGGGAACGUGCCUUUAGGUUCGGAAUAACUCAGGGAAACUUGUGCUAAUACCGAAUGUGCCCUUCGGGGGAAAGAUUAAUCGCCUUUAGAGCGGCCCGCGUCUGAUUAGCUAGUUGGUUGAGGUAAUGGCUCACCAAGGCGACGAUCAGUAGCUGGUCUGAGAGGAUGAUCAGCCACAUUGGGACUGAGACACGGCCCAAACUCCUACGGGAGGCAGCAGUGGGGAAUCUUGCGCAAUGGGCGAAAGCCUGACGCAGCCAUGCCGCGUGAAUGAUGAAGGUCUUAGGAUUGUAAAAUUCUUUCACCGGGGACGAUAAUGACGGUACCCGGAGAAGAAGCCCCGGCUAACUUCGUG